CGAACCUCUGGUGUUCGGGUUGUCACGCCAGUGGCACUGCCCGGUAGCUAAGUUCGGAAUCGAUAACCGCUGAAAGCAUCUAAGCGGGAAGCGAGCCCUGAGAUGAGUCAUCCCUGACCCCUUGAGGGUCCUAAAGGGCCGUUGGAGACCACAACGUUGAUAGGUGGGGUGUGUAAGCGCGGCGACGUGUUGAGCUAACCCAUACUAAUUACCCGUGAGGCUUAACCAUACAACACCCAAGAAGUGUUCU
rnacentral:rRNA from 1 species